rnacentral:rRNA from 1 species
AGACCCGAAACCCGGUGAUCUAGCCAUGGGCAGGUUGAAGGUUGGGUAACACUAACUGGAGGACCGAACCGACUAAUGUUGAAAAAUUAGCGGAUGACCUGUGGCUGGGGGUGAAAGGCCAAUCAAACCGGGAGAUAGCUGGUUCUCCCCGAAAGCUAUUUAGGUAGCGCCUCGUGAAUUCAUCUCCGGGGGUAGAGCACUGUUUCGGCUAGGGGGCCAUCCCGGCUUACCAACCCGAUGCAAACUGCGAAUACCGGAGAAUGUUAUCACGGGAGACACACGGCGGGUGCUAACGUCCGUCGUGAAGAGGGAAACAACCCAGACCGCCAGCUAAGGUCCCAAAGUCAUGGUUAAGUGGGAAACGAUGUGGGAAGGCCCAGACAGCCAGGAUGUUGGCUUAGAAGCAGCCAUCAUUUAAAGAAAGCGUAAUAGCUCACUGGUCGAGUCGGCCUGCGCGGAAGAUGUAACGGGGCUAAACCAUGCACCGAAGCUGCGGCAGCGAACGUAUCACUUAAAGCGAUUCAGCGGGUUACGAUUGAUGGAGCGAAGCGACGUCAAAGCGUAUACAAAGUCGAGUCGGUUUAAGGAUACGUUCGUUGGGUAGGGGAGCGUUCUGUAAGCCUGUGAAGGUGUGUCGUGAGGCAUGCUGGAGGUAUCAGAAGUGCGAAUGCUGACAUAAGUAACGAUAAAGCGGGUGAAAAGCCCGCUCGCCGGAAGACCAAGGGUUCCUGUCCAACGUUAAUCGGGGCAGGGUGAGUCGACCCCUAAGGCGAGGCCGAAAGGCGUAGUCGAUGGGAAACGGGUUAAUAUUCCCGUACUUGGUGUUACUGCGAAGGGGGGACGGAGAAGGCUAUGUUGGCCGGGCGACGGUUGUCCCGGUUUAAGCGUGUAGGCUGGUUUUCCAGGCAAAUCCGGAAAAUCAAGGCUGAGGCGUGAUGACGAGGCACUACGGUGCUGAAGCAACAAAUGCCCUGCUUCCAGGAAAAGCCUCUAAGCAUCAGGUAACAUCAAAUCGUACCCCAAACCGACACAGGUGGUCAGGUAGAGAAUACCAAGGCGCUUGAGAGAACUCG